rnacentral:rRNA from 1 species
AGAUUGAACGCUGGCGGCAGGCCUAACACAUGCAAGUCGAGCGGUAGAGAGGUGCUUGCAUCUCUUGAGAGCGGCGGACGGGUGAGUAAUGCCUAGGAAUCUGCCUAGUGGUGGGGGAUAACGUUCGGAAACGGACGCUAAUACCGCAUACGUCCUACGGGAGAAAGCGGGGGACCUUCGGGCCUCGCGCCAUUAGAUGAGCCUAGGUCGGAUUAGCUAGUUGGUGAGGUAAUGGCUCACCAAAGGCGACGAUCCGUAACUGGUCUGAGAGGAUGAUCAGUCACACUGGAACUGAGACACGGUCCAGACUCCUACGGAGGCAGCAGUGGGGAAUAUUGGACAAUGGGCGAAAGCCUGAUCCAGCCAUGCCGCGUGUGUGAAGAAGGUCUUCGGAUUGUAAAGCACUUUAAGUUGGAGGAAGGUUGUAACCUAAUACGUUAGCAACUUUGACGUUAACCGACAGAAUAAGACACCGGCUAACGUCGUGCCAGCAGCCGUA